CCGACCACACGAUUCUGCAGCAGCUGUAACUGUGGUUCCUGUCUGCAGUGUCCAGCACAAUGUUUAUUACUGGGCUUAGAGCUUGUUUGUUUGCAUUACUUGUUUUUUUAGGUCCAACCAUCAGUGUGAGAGAAUCAGAAGUGCGAGGAGCCCUGGGACAGUCAGUCACACUGCCGUGCACAUACUCUGUCAGAGAGAAAGGUGUAGUUGAAAUGUGCUGGGGCAGGGACUGGUGUGCUACACUCGGUUGUUCACAAACAUUGAUGAGAACGGAUGGGAGAACUGUAAUUUUACAAAAAUCCUCAAAAUACCAUAUGGAUGGUAAAAUAGAGGAAGGAAAUGUAUCGCUCACAGUGAACAAUCUACGUAAAGAAGACAGUGGUCAGUACUGCUGCCGUGUAGAGAUUGCUGGUCUUUUUAAUGACCAGAAAGUGAUCAUCAACCUCGUGGUUUCAGAGAAGUCCAACACACCAGCUGCUUCACCCUCAACUGUAUUCUUUAAUACAUAUGGUGGUAACCAUUUCACUUCAAGAACAACUGAAGGCAUUACAGGAAAUCUGAAUUCCACUUUUACAACAUCUCCUGCAGAGGCUACCAGCCUUGGUGAAAAAGAAAAUAGAACAUCAUUUAAUGUGAAUCUUCUGAUUUGGACUGGUGUUGGUUUGGGGAUUCUUAUCUUUCUCACUGGAAUAGCUAUAUUUAUUUUCAAGAAGAAACGAUUUGAACUGACAUCUCAAGAACAUUCCCCUGGGUUCUCUAUUACCUGUCCAGUGACAUACUACUGCACCUCCACCUCCCGCAGCAGUGGCUGAGCCAAGAAUUCAGUGAGCUGCAAGCACCAGGUACCCAUUGAGUUAUGUCCCAGGAAUUUGCACUGUCUACUUUUUCAGGGAAGGAAAGGAGAUUUGGAAGAGGUGGAAAAAUAGGAUGAACUGGCAUAAUAAUGCAACACAAAUGCAGGAAAAUAGGGUAGACACCACUCAAUGUUGGGAUUUCUAAGUCACCAGUUAAAGCUUGAGUUGAAAAUUGGAUACUUCUUGAAGUCGAGAUUUUGAUGUUUUUUUCAUUCUCGCUAUAUUUUUAUCAAUUUUCUUGCCAUUGCCAAUAUCACACCAGGAAGGGGAAUAUUCUACCUUUUUUUUAAGAAUAAAAGGCAGAAUUCAUUUAAAAAAUAAUAAGACUACACAGCUCAGGAUAAAAUAUCUUCCAAAUGGAAGCUGUGGGGAUGCUUGCCAUUGUUUAACCAACAUGCAUUUUUGUCUUCUAGUGAAAGUUUUCCAAAAAGAUGUCAGUGCAAAAAGUGCUAUUGGAAUACACAUACAUCAAGCGGUGGAAGAAAAUAUAUAUAAUGUUGAAUAACUGACCAAGCUUAUACAAUGGAUGAUA